GCCGCGGACGCCUAAUCUGGUUUGGCGGGUAGUCAAGACCUAUCUGCCCGAAAGGGCUUCUGGGUUCGAAUCCCAGCCGCGGCG
rnacentral:tRNA from 1 species